rnacentral:rRNA from 1 species
UUUGCUUAGAUUCUUCGGAUGAAGAGGAUUGUGACUGAGCGGCGGACGGGUGAGUAACGCGUGGGUAACCUGCCUCAUACAGGGGGAUAACAGUUAGAAAUGACUGCUAAUACCGCAUAAGACCACAGGGUCGCAUGACCCGGUGGUAAAAACUCCGGUGGUAUGAGAUGGACCCGCGUCUGAUUAGCUAGUUGGUGGGGUAACGGCUCACCAAGGCGACGAUCAGUAGCCGACCUGAGAGGUUAACCCCCACACUGGUACUGAGACACGGACCAGACUCC